rnacentral:lncRNA from 12 species
CUGCAGCCCAGCAGCAGGACCGGGGACCCCCGUGAUCCCGGGCGGUCCCAUCCUCCGCGCGGCUGCUACCAGCACCCCCGGAAAGAGCACAGAAGGCAGACACUGGAACAGAAACUACGUCGUUUCUCUUCAAAGCGGUGGGCCCUGGGGUCCGCCGCCGCGAAGCCUGCGGCUGCCGGGAAACCCAAACCCGAGUGUCCGAAGACUAACCGGAAGUGCGGUCCUAGGCGGAGGGGCGGUGCCUGCGGCCGCCGGGGAGAGGGAAGCAUUGAGUAUUGUGAAUACUUACAGACUAGAGACUUUUUGAAGCCAAAGGAAGGCCAUCUUCAAUCUUUGUUAAUGAAUGCUGUCUUCCUUGAGAAAUCAAAUUCUUAGGACCAGGAGGUAAAUGCUGCUUUCUUUCCAGUUAGAUUCUAGGAUCCAUUAUCGAAUGAACAGAGAGAAAUGAUCUUGGAGUGUAAGGAAUUCUUGUAUGAUAACUAUGAGGGUCACCUGGAACAGGUAAUUUGGACCAAAAAAUGUAAUUUCUAUGACAGUUUUGUUGAUCACGGUGACAUGAUAGAAUAUUUGAAAUCUAGGAUGUAGAGUUACUGUAUUUAGCAUAAACACACCAUCUCUUGUGUGUAUCCCACCUCCUUCCCUUCUCCGAGCUGUGGACAUCACCGCUCUUUUCAGCCAUGCAUCAGUUUUCUCUCAUACUGUUCCUCUGUAGUGGUUUGAACACUACCUUUCUGUGGACCUCUCUCUGGCUUCUUCAAGAAACUGCUCUACUUCCACCCUGUUCAGUUUUGAGUUGACACCUAAAGCCUUGGUAUUUCUUUUUCUAUUUAUAAAUAACCUUUUUUUUUUUUAAUUAUGACAACCAUCUCUGUGCCUUACGCAUGGAGAGUUUGCAAAUUGCUGAAUGGAAAUUGGGAAACCAAUUAGCAAAUGGAUGAAACAGAAAGUCCCCCAUCUUCUGGAUCCUUUCGCCUCAUUGUUUACUCUGAAUUCUGGUGGCCUGCAUAUUGUUUCCUCUCACAUACACAGGCUCUAGUCCUAUAUGUCACAGUUGAUGAAUGGUGGACCCUGUCCCCAGAAGUAUGUACAUACACCAAAUAACAUUUGCAAUCAGUUUCACAGUUUUUGUGUUUAUUUAGGAGUCCAUAGAUGCUGGAUAAGGACUUCUUUUCUAGCUUUGAGCACCUGCUAUGUGCCAGGUACUAGGGAAACAGCAUUGAAAUGAAAAAAAUCCCUGUCCUUUAGGGGCUGACAUUCUAUGGAGGAAAAUACAACAGUAUAUCAGGAGUGUUAUAUGUGUGGGUCAGCUGGGAUGCAGGUGUAUUACAAUGUAAAGUAGGAUGGCCAGGCAAAGAUUUGAAGGUGAUGAGGGGGAUGGAACCUUGAAGAUCUAGAGGGGAUAGCACUUUAGCGAGGAGACAGCACAGAUCCUGAAGUGGGGGUGACCUGCUAGUUUGAACAGCAGCAGAGAGACAAUGUGACAUGUGCACAGUAGAAGAAAAGCAAGGAGAAGAGUCAGAGUGGUAACCAGGAGGCAGAGUUCUUAGGGGCUUGUUGGUUUCUAACAAGAGCAGUCUGGCAGAGCGAUAAGGGCAAAUGUUAGAUUGGAGGAUGUUCCAGAAACCUUAGAAGACAAGAUUUGGAGGCAAUAAACAGAUUGAUUUCUUUUGAAGAAAUUUGCA